rnacentral:lncRNA from 1 species
ACUAGGGACUUUGGGUGAUAAUGGUGUGUCAAGAUAGGUUCAUCAAUUGUAACAAGUGUACCUGGUGCAGGGCAUUGAUAGUGCGGAGGCUGUGUGGGGUUAAGGAUUGUACGGGAAAUCUCUGUACCUUCCACUCAAUUUUGCUGUGAACCUAAAAAAGGUUGGGGAGGAGAGGAUGCAAACUUUAGGUGUUAAAAGUUAAAACCACUCUUGAAAUAAUGGACCAAUUAAUGACAAAAAAAUUAUAAUUUAUGAAUGAGGAUUAGUCAUAUAGGUGUACAAUUAAGGUAAAAUUU